rnacentral:misc_RNA from 1 species
AACUUUUAGCAACGGAUCUCUUGGUUCCAGCAUCGAUGAAGAACGCAGCGAAAUGCGAAAAGUAAUGUGAAUUGCAGAAUUCCGUGAAUCAUCGAAUCUUUGAACGCACAUUGCGCCCCUUGGUAUUCCGAGGGGCAUGCCUGUUCGAGCGUCAUUGCACCUCUCAAGCACUGCUUGGUAUUGGGAUCGCCCCCCGUGGCGGCCCCGGAUCUCAGUGGCGGUCCAGCGAGACUUCAAGCGUAGCAAGAUUUUACAUCCCGCUUUGGAAGCUUCCCGCUGCGUGCCGGCCAGUCAACCACCCAUAUUUUCAACGAUUGACCUCGGAUCAGGUAGGGAUACCCGCUGAACUUAAGCAUAUCAAUAAGCGGAGGCU